UCGUCUCUGUCUUAUCUUGACUGUAAAGCCAGAGACACAUGGCUGAAGCUGCCAGGGUCUGCUGCUUGCAGGAGCUGGAGCAUGGCCCCUCGUUCUAUUGCAUUAUCACCAGCUUCCUUUUCUCCAUUCACUGCCUAAGCUUGGCUGCCCUGGAACUUGCUCUGUAGGCUGACUUUGAACUCAGAGAUCUGCAUGGCUGUCUCCUGAGCACUGGAAUUAAAGGUGUAGGCCCCCAAGCCUGGCUCUAAAUUUACCUGGAUGGGAUCUUGCCCCCAAGGUUAUUACUCCCUUAAUUCAAUUUACUAUCCUUGAACACAGGAUUCAUCUCCAGUUCACUUCCUGAGGUCCCUUUAAUACUCGAAACAUAUAUUUUAUAUUUUUCUUUCCUCAGCUUCCCUUUUUUCAUUAAGAUGCUCUCCAUAAGAGUGAACUUUAGUAACCACACAACAGAAUUUGCACCAGGCUGUUUUGAGACUUUCUAUUUCAAAGCAAUUAAUCUAAAUCUCUUCACCUUAGCCUAAAGCAGAAUCUUCGGACAAUGGCAAAAAGCAGCCACAUUUUCCCCAAAAUACCACAAAACAGUCUCUAGGCCACAUUCUGGAAUUCUUCACCUCUGAAACUUCUUGGGCCUGGUCCGCAGAGUUCAAAUUACUCUCAGCAACAGAGUCUUCCCUAUCCCUACUAGGAGAGCUCAUUUAAGCCCCAUUUCAAGCAUUCCGCUGCUUUCCAAAUCCAAAGUCCCAAAAUCCACAUUCUUUUGAACAAAAGCAUGGUCAGGCCUCUCACAGCAAUACCCCACUCCGAGUACUAACUUCUGUCUUAGUUAGGGUUUUGCUGCUGUGAACAGACAACAUGACCAAGGCAACUCUUAUAAGGACAACAUUUAAUUGGGGCUGGGUUACGGGUUCAGAGGUUCAGUCCAGUAUCAUCAAGGCGGGAACAUGGCAGCAUCCAGGCAGGCAUAGUGCAGGCAGAGCUAAGAACUCUACAUCUUCAUCUGAAGGCUGCUAGUGGAGGACUGACUUCCAGGCAGCUAGAAUGAGGGUCUUAAGGCCCACACCCACAGUGACACACCCACUUCAACAUGGCCACAUCUUCUAAUAGUGCCACUCCCUGGGCCAAGCAUAUAUAAACCACAACAGGUACAGAGCUCUUCUGCCUACAAAUCUGCCUUCCGUGAUGGGAACCCCUGCAUUCCCAUUUAUCACCACGGGCUUUACCAAAUGCCCACACUCUGGGGCCAGGCUGGCUGCUAGGGCAAUCCACAGGCCUGGUUCUCUAGGAGCCUCAGAUUCACACAGGAACUAAAUCCCUGUGAGGAUCACAGAGUGUCACACAGCCAUGGGGACUAUGCCGAGAAACCAGAAAGGACAUGUUUUUGCGGGCUGGUGGUCCCUGCAUGACUGUCAGUUAGACACUGCCCUGGAGAAGGGAGAAAAUGGAGAUUUGGCUGCUAGGCUGCUCUUGAUAGAAGUGAGGUGCAAAUUGCAGAUGCCCUACCACACUGUUGGUCUUGAGGAAAUUAUUAGAUGAGAGGAACCCUGAGUUUCUGGUGUUUUCCCUGAUUCAGUUUAAGAGCGCAGUGUCCUGGGUUCCCACUACCUUACAUCUAGAAAGAUACACUCUUGCCUUAUUGUUAGAGAGAUACACUCUUGCCUUAUUGUUGACGACCACAUAAAAGUGAGAGUAGACAGCAGGGAAGAUGUUCAGCCCAGCUUCUUUCAAAGCCAGAAUGAAGGGUAUUGGAGUCAUCCAUUUUCCUAUUACCCGAAGCUCACGGCUCUUGCCCUUCAGUUUCACUGCAGCCAACAUGCAGUGGGUUUCCUGAAUUUCAAGAAGGGAAAGGAAACUAUUACUCCAGGUCUAGUCUUUGAAAUCAUAGGCUACUCUAUACUAAAUAACGCGUCUGGUAUGUCUUGGGCCUGAUCUGGAAGCCUGCCAUAGGACCACUGCCUAGGAAGCUCACUAACUUCCUAGGCUCCCGCUGGGUAUCCCGAGGGAUCGAAAAUGGUGUCUCAGAUCUCUCUAUUUUAUAAGAUGUGCAAGCACUCUGUUCAUUCUGAAUUAAAACAGCCAUUGAGACAACCAUGAUUA
rnacentral:lncRNA from 1 species